AAUAUCUGAUAUUGAGGAUGAAGACCUCUUUGCCUCUACUUCUACCCAGCAUGAGCUUUCAGAAAUGCCUGGAGCUGAACCCCCACUGAGCCCCACUGGCCCUCACAUCUGACUGACAGGAUUCGGACUGAGCUGGUUCACAGAGGACCACCUCUGUGAAGUAAAGUGCCACCUGGCUUUGUUUUCCGUAGGAAUGAGAGUAAUGGGAGAAGUUGCCACCACUAAUAUUUUAAGAAGACAUUAGUAAGUGGUGAAAAGAUGGCAAGAAGUUGGCUGAUUUAUUCAAUUAAGAACAACAGCCUCUUUUGCUUCUGCUGCAAAUUGUUUUCCAAGAGGAACAUCAAUUUAACAAGUGCAGGAAUGGCAAAUUGGAAACAUGCAUGCAGUGAUCUCACAUCAUAUGAAUACCGUUGUUAUAAUAAAAUAUUGCUGUUUGUGCAGAA